ACAAGCAGAGGGGGCUUAGUGGUGGGGUGACUGCGUACCUUUUGUAUAAUGGGUCAGCGACUUAUAUUCUGUAGCAAGGUUAACCGUAUAGGGGAGCCGGAGGGAAACCGAGUCUUAAUUGGGCGUUAAGUUGCAGGGUAUAGACCCGAAACCCGGUGAUCUAGCCAUGGGCAGGUUGAAGGUUGGGUAACACUAACUGGAGGACCGAACCGACUAAUGUUGAAAAAUUAGCGGAUGACCUGUGGCUGGGGGUGAAAGGCCAAUCAAACCGGGAGAUAGCUGGUUCUCCCCGAAAGCUAUUUAGGUAGCGCCUCGUGAAUUCAUCUCCGGGGGUAGAGCACUGUUUCGGCUAGGGGGCCAUCCCGGCUUACCAACCCGAUGCAAACUGCGAAUACCGGAGAAUGUUAUCACGGGAGACACACGGCGGGUGCUAACGUCCGUCGUGAAGAGGGAAACAACCCAGACCGCCAGCUAAGGUCCCAAAGUCAUGGUUAAGUGGGAAACGAUGUGGGAAGGCCCAGACAGCCAGGAUGUUGGCUUAGAAGCAGCCAUCAUUUAAAGAAAGCGUAAUAGCUCACUGGUCGAGUCGGCCUGCGC
rnacentral:rRNA from 2 species